rnacentral:rRNA from 1 species
CUUGGCCAGCCUUCUGAAAGGAAGAUUAAUACAAGAUGGCAUCAUGAGUCCGCAUGUUCACAUGAUUAAAGGUAUUCCGGUAGACGAUGGGGAUGCGUUCCAUUAGAUAGUAGGCGGGGUAACGGCCCACCUAGUCUUCGAUGGAUAGGGGUUCUGAGAGGAAGGUCCCCCACAUUGGAACUGAGACACGGUCCAAACUCCUACGGGAGGCAGCAGUGAGGAAUAUUGGUCAAUGGGCGAGAGCCUGAACCAGCCAAGUAGCGUGAAGGAUGACUGCCCUAUGGGUUGUAAACUUCUUUUAUAAAGGAAUAAAGUCGGGUAUGGAUACCCGUUUGCAUGUACUUUAUGAAUAAGGAUCGGCUAACUCCGUGCCAGCAGCCGCGGUAAUACGGAGGAUCCGAGCGUUAUCCGGAUUUAUUGGGUUUAAAGGGAGCGUAGAUGGAUGUUUAAGUCAGUUGUGAAAGUUUGCGGCUCAACCGUAAAAUUGCAGUUGAUACUGGAUAUCUUGAGUGCAGUUGAGGCAGGCGGAAUUCGUGGUGUAGCGGUGAAAUGCUUAGAUAUCACGAAGAACUCCGAUUGCGAAGGCAGCCUGCUAAGCUGCAACUGACAUUGAGGCCCGAAAGUGUGGGUAUCAAACAGGAUUAGAUACCCUGGUAGUCCACACGGUAAACGAUGAAUACUCGCUGUUUGCGAUAUACUGCAAGCGGCCAAGCGAAAGCGUUAAGUAUUCCACCUGGGGAGUACGCCGGCAACGGUGAAACUCAAAGGAAUUGACGGGGGCCCGCACAAGCGGAGGAACAUGUGGUUUAAUUCGAUGAUACGCGAGGAACCUUACCCGGGCUUAAAUUGCAGAUGAAUUACGGUGAAAGCCGUAAGCCGCAAGGCAUCUGUGAAGGUGCUGCAUGGUUGUCGUCAGCUCGUGCCGUGAGGUGUCGGCUUAAGUGCCAUAACGAGCGCAACCCUUGUUGUCAGUUACUAACA